rnacentral:rRNA from 1 species
CAGUCGCCGCGGUAAUACAGAGGGUGCGAGCGUUAAUCGGAUUUACUGGGCGUAAAGCGUGCGUAGGCGGCUUCUUAAGUCGGAUGUGAAAUCCCUGAGCUUAACUUAGGAAUUGCAUUCGAUACUGGGAAGCUAGAGUAUGGGAGAGGAUGGUAGAAUUUCAGGUGUAGCGGUGAAAUGCGUAGAGAUCUGGAGGAAUACCGAUGGCGAAGGCAGCCAUCUGGCCUAAUACUGACGCUGAGGUACGAAAGCAUGGGGAGCAAACAGGAUUAGAUACCCCCGUAGUCCCUGUCUCUUAUAC